GGGCGUCUAGCUCAGUGGUAGUAGCGCUCGCUUUGCAUUGCCUACGCAAUGAAAUUGCGAGAGGUCAUGAGUUCGACCCUCAUGUCGUCCA